rnacentral:rRNA from 1 species
UACGAAGGGGGCUAGCGUUGCUCGGAAUCACUGGGCGUAAAGCGCACGUAGGCGGAUUGUUAAGUCAGGGGUGAAAUCCUGGAGCUCAACUCCAGAACUGCCUUUGAUACUGGCGAUCUCGAGUCCGGGAGAGGUGAGUGGAACUGCGAGUGUAGAGGUGAAAUUCGUAGAUAUUCGCAAGAACACCAGUGGCGAAGGCGGCUCACUGGCCCGGUACUGACGCUGAGGAACGAAAGCCAGGGGAGCAAACGGG